UCACGGCGUGGUGAUGCUAUAUAGAGAACUGGCUCUAGAGAACCAGAGUUUUUCUCAUGUUUUUGUCUUCUCUGAAUGCUUUUAACAUUUCUGAGUUUCUCUGUCCUGGUCCAUGAAGGACCGUGUGCCCUCAGGAGUGUUUCAUACACACGAAGGGCUGGAUUAACAGUUGUUGUCUACUUUACUUAGCUGGCUGUGCCGUUGUGAAACAGCUGAGUAGGUCCUGUCCUGGAGUACUCAAGGAAAUGAUGACUCAGGCCUGUGUUCCAGGGCUAUGUGGGAGCUCCUGGGCAAAAGAAUGAAAAAGGUUGAAGAAAGGACUGAAAUCAUGUGAAUUGUACUGGUUUUAGACUUGGAAAGUAUGUGACACUGCUUGUAAACAUGAUUUUACUGCAACUGGGGAAGUUGGUUUAUUAUGUGAGGGGUCCCAAUAGGCAUGAACUUGUAGGGAAUUCAGAGAAGAGGAAACUGCAGACGAGCAAGGAAGCCAGUGGAUAUGGAAGCAUCUCCAGGGAUGUCCGGCAGCAUUUUGCAGCUGCGGGCAGGUGUAUCACCCGCUGAUGAGGUUAAGUGCUUUUCCCCAGGCCAGCCACAAGGCCUGUGGCAGAGCUGUCUGGAAUCAGGGCUGUUUCCAGCUGAAUCACACCCUGCUGCCCCUGGAGUGAAAUGUACAUGGGGUAGGUUGGUGAAGUACAUCUGCACUUAAAAUACUUAACUUUUCAAGGGAAGAAGAAACAGCAGCUGAAGGAACGUUCCCAGCACUGAUGCGGUUGCUCACAAGCACUCACUGCCUGCCACAGGAGGAACAAAGCAGCUCUUCAUGUGAAAUAGUAAUGCUGGGUGCUUAUUGCACAUCUGCUAUUAAUUCCUGUCUGCAAUGACUUUGGAUCUGAAAAUUUGAAAGGUUUGGCAGAUACUAGCAAGCCAGAGAAGCAAUGAGCUUUCAGACCAUCCUGGUGAGGACCAAAGCAAUUAAGAGCCAGGAAGAUUGCAGCUGGAAGUGGGUGAGAAUGGGGGGGGUUCUCCCCAAAGCACUGAGUUAAAAAUAAAAAUACCCCUCAGCUGCAGCACCACUUUCUCUCACAGGACAUCUCCAGCUGUACAUGUAAGCAUCUCUAGAAAGGCAGUGUGAGUUAUUGCAAAGCUUUCUAAUGGUCCCAAACAGAGAAUGUUGCUCAAAGCAGCAAGGUCACAUAACAAGGGUGCUGCUGGCAGCAGCACAGGUGAGAGCAGGCUUUCUGCUGCCUACUCAGCUGAAGGCUGACUCUGCUCUUCCAC